CAAACUUGGGACCUUGCGCUUGCAAGACAGGUGCUGGAACCACUGAGCUACAUCCUCAGCCCAAUAAGGCCACUUUUGUUGGAAGCCUGUAAUCAAGGGGGAUCGAACUUGAGUCCUUGCGCUUGUGCAGCGGGCAGCGAAACCACUGAGCUAAAUCCCUGGCCCCUGAAAAAUCAAAUAUUAAACAACUUCUUAUUGAAUGACCAUUGGAUCAAGAUGAAAUGAACCACUACUUACUGGGGACCGAAUCCAGGGCCUCUCACAAGCAAAAUUCACACUAUACCACUGACCACCUACCUCCCUACUUGCUCAUUCGGGAAUAUUUUAGAAUGUACUUAAUAAAGCUAUUUCUGAGUUCUAGAAUAAUUAUGCUAUUUUUCUUGUGUUUGAAUCAUGUGACUUUAUUAUUCUUUAAAAAGAUUUACUAUUUAAUGACAAUUACUAUGAAAACGUAAUCACAAGUCUACU